AUAUCAAUAAGCGGAGGAAAAGAAACCAACAGGGAUUGCCCUAGUAACGGCGAGUGAAGCGGCAACAGCUCAAAUUUGAAAGCUGGCCUUCGGGUCCGCAUUGUAAUUUGUAGAGGAUGCUUUGGGUGAAACGCCAGUCUAAGUUCCUUGGAACAGGACGUCAUAGAGGGUGAGAAUCCCGUAUGUGACUGGAAAUGUUAACCUAUGUAAAGCUCCUUCGACGAGUCGAGUUGUUUGGGAAUGCAGCUCUAAAUGGGAGGUAAAUUUCUUCUAAAGCUAAAUAUUGGCGAGAGACCGAUAGCGCACAAGUAGAGUGAUCGAAAGAUGAAAAGCACUUUGGAAAGAGAGUUAAAAAGCACGUGAAAUUGUUGAAAGGGAAGCGCUUGCAAUCAGACUUGUUUAAACUGUUCGGCCGGUCUUCUGACCGGUUUACUCAGUUUGGACAGGCCAGCAUCAGUUUCGGCGGCCGGAUAAAGGCUCUGGGAAUGUGGCCUUCACUUCGGUGAAGGUGUUAUAGCCCAGGGUGUAAUACGGCCAGCCGGGACUGAGGUCCGCGCUUCGGCUAGGAUGCUGGCGUAAUGGUUGUAAGCGACCCGUCUUGAAACACGGACCAAGGAGUCUAACAUCUAUGCGAGUGUUCGGGUGUCAAACCCCUGCGCGUAAUGAAAGUGAACGGAGGUGGGAACCGCAAGGUGCACCAUCGACCGAUCCUGAUGUCUUCGGAUGGAUUUGAGUAAGAGCAUAGCUGUUGGGACCCGAAAGAUGGUGAACUAUGCCUGAAUAGGGUGAAGCCAGAGGAAACUCUGGUGGAGGCUCGCAGCGGUUCUGACGUGCAAAUCGAUCGUCAAAUUUGGGUAUAGGGGCGAAAGACUAAUCGA
rnacentral:rRNA from 1 species